GACGAACGCUGGCGGCGUGCCUAACACAUGCAAGUCGAACGGAGUAAUUUCUUCGGAGAUUACUUAGUGGCGAACGGGUGAGUAACGCGUGAGAAACCUGCCUUUCAGUGGGGGACAACAGUUGGAAACGACUGCUAAUACCGCAUAAUGUUAUUUGGGGGCAUCCCUGAAUAACCAAAGCUUUAUGUGCUGAAAGAUGGUCUCGCGUCUGAUUAGCUAGAUGGCGGGGUAACGGCCCACCAUGGCGACGAUCAGUAGCCGGUCUGAGAGGAUGAACGGCCACAUUGGGACUGAGAUACGGCCCAGACUCCUACGGGAGGCAGCAGUGGGGAAUAUUGGGCAAUGGGGGAAACCCUGACCCAGCAACGCCGCGUGAAGGAAGAAGGCCUUC
rnacentral:rRNA from 1 species